rnacentral:rRNA from 1 species
AAUAUUGCGCAAUGGCGGGAACUCUGACGCAGCGACGCCGCGUGAGCGAUGAAGGUCUUCGGAUCGUAAAGCCCUGUCCUUGGGGCAGAAGUUCUUCGGACUUGACGGUACCUAAUGAGGUAGCCCCGGCUCACUACGUGCCAGCAGCCGCGGUAAUACGUAGGGGGCAAGCGUGGUCCGGAAUUAUUGGGCGUAAAGGGUGCGUAGGCGGCCUUUUAAGUCAGGUGUGAAAGCCCACGGCUUAACCGUGGGAUUGCAUUUGAAACUGGAAGGCUUAAGUAUCGGGGAGGGUAGUGGAAUUCCCAGUGUAGCGGUGGAAUGCGUAGAUAUUGGGAGGAACACCAGUGGCGAAGGCGGCUUUCUGGACAGUAACUGCCGCUGAGGCGCGAAAGCGUGGGGAGCAAAC